AGGCCCUGGCCCAAAAAGAGGGAAAAGAAAAAUUUCCUCUACCCUUGGCCUAACCUUCCCACUUUCUACCUUUUAGAAUGCUGCCUUUCUCCAUAAAAAGUGCCUGGUGGAGUGCCCAGCCUCCCCUACACUUCCCCAGGGGCUCCCAGGCUGAGACUCCUGUGCCUUCACAGUGGGUCUUUUCAGACAGGAGCUGAUCACAUGGGACUUGAAUUGAGCCUGUGCUGGUCUGGGGACAGCAGCCCUCAAAAUCCCUGGCUCUAUAAUGCUGAGAAAGAGUGACUUAUAAGAGGGUCCUGAUUUACAGAAAGAAGUCUUGUGUGGAGGAUUGUUUUCCCCCUGCACAUUGGACAACUCCGACCUUAUUCCAGAAUGGUCCCAGUUGUAGCUGCCGAACAGUAGCUCGUCAGAAGAAGCAAUCAGUGCUCUGCCAACUUAGACUGUUUGAGAAAUUUUGCCAGAAGCAAAACAGGAUCAAAAAUAAUAAACAGACCUCCUCCCUUGCCGCACCACCGCUGUUUACAUGAGGAGACUGGCAGCCAGUUACACCGGUAGAGUUUGCUUUUACUAAGAAGAGACGUGUCUGGAAAUGCAACAUGUGCAUCCACCUGUAAGAGCC
rnacentral:lncRNA from 1 species